rnacentral:rRNA from 1 species
UAUUGGACAAUGGGGGGAACCCUGAUCCAGCCAUGCCGCUUGUGUGCAGAAGGUCUUCGGAUUGUAAAGCACUUUAAGUUGGGAUGAAGGGUUGUAGGUUAAUACCCUGCAAUUUUGACGUUACCAACAGAAUACGCACCGGCUAACUUCGUCCCAGCAGCCGCGGUAAUACGCAGGGUGCAAUCGUUAAUCGGAAUUACUGGGCGUAAAGCGCGCGUAGGUGGUUCAGUAAGAUGGAAGUGAGAUCCCCGGGCUUAACCUGGGAACUGCGUUCAUAACUGGUGAGCUAGAGUACGGUAGAGGGUAGUGGAAUUGCCUGUGUAGCGGUGAAAUGCGUAGAUAUAGGAAGGAACACCAGUGGCAAAGGCGACUACCUGGACUGAUACUGACACUGAGGUGCGAAAGCGUGGGGAGCAAACAGG